rnacentral:rRNA from 1 species
UACGUAGGGUGCAAGCGUUGUCCGGAAUUAUUGGGCGUAAAGAGCGUGUAGGCGGCCCGAUUAGUCUGCUGUGAAAGUCCAGGGCUCAACCCUGGAAUGCCGGUGGAUACUGUCGGGCUAGAGUCCGGAAGGGGCGAGUGGAAUUCCUGGUGUAGCGGUGAAAUGCGCAGAUAUCAGGAAGAACACCUAUGGCGAAGGCAGCUCUCUGGGACGGUACUGACGCUGAGACGCGAAAGCGUGGGGAGCGAACAGG